GACGAACGCUGGCGGCGUGCUUAACACAUGCAAGUCGAACGGAAAAGCCCUACCUUGCUGGAGUGGAUGAGUGGCGAACGGGUGAGUAACACGUGAGCAACCUGCCCUUGACUUUGGGAUAAGCUCUGGAAACGGCGUCUAAUACUGGAUACGAGAAGGGUCCGCAUGGGCAGGGUCGGGAAGUUUUUGCGGUUGGGGAUGGGCUCGCGGCUUAUCAGCUUGUUGGUGGGGUAGUGGCUUACCAAGGCUUCGACGGGUAGCCGGCCUGAGAGGGCGACCGGCCACAAUGGGACUGAGAGACGGCCCAGACUCCUACGGGAGGCAGCAGUGGGGAAUAUUGCACAAUGGGCGAAAGCCUGAUGCAGCGACGCCGCGUGCGGGAUGACGGCCUUCGGGUUGUAAACCGCUUUCGGCUGGGACGAAGCGAAAGUGACGGUACCUGCAGAAGAAGCACCGGCUAACUACGUG
rnacentral:rRNA from 1 species